GCAGUGUAAUAUCCCUCGCUUUUAAAAAUUAUUAAUAAAGAUUUAUAUGUAAAUUGGAGGACCUAUAUGUAAAUAUAGAAAUUACAAGGACUAAACUGCUAAGUUGCAAAAAAAAAGAAAAAAAAAGGGAAAACCGAAAAUUCGGUAUUAUCCCACCGCCUCCCACGCACUCUGUUUCUUCCAGAAACAGAGAGAGCGGUGGGGCGUGAGGAGAAGAAGGAGAGUGGUAGAAGAAGAGAGGAAGAAGAGGGAGAAGAGAAGAAGAAGAAGAAGAAGAAGAAGAAGAGGGAAAAGAAGAGAGGAGGAAGAAGAGGGAGUAGAGAAGAAGAAGAAGGAGAAGAAGAAGAAGAGGAGGUGGCUGCAGCGAGGGCUGCAGCGAGAAGCUGUGGGGCGUGGGGAGAAGAAGAGAGGAAGAAGAGGGAGAAGAGAAGAAGAAGAAGAAGAAGAAGAGAAGAGGAUAGCUGCGGCAAGGCUGCAGCGAGAAGGUGUGUGGGGUUGGGGAGGAAAAAGGGAAGAGGAGAAGAAGAGGGAAAAGAGAGGGAAGAGGGAGAGGAGCGAGAGGUGGCAGCAGCUAGGGCUGCAGCACCUCUGUUUCCUGCAGGUGGAAACAGAGGAGAGGUGUGGGGCGUUCGAAGAGGAGAAGAAGAAGAAGAGGAAGAGAAGAGGAAGAGGAAGCAGGGGAAGAGGUUGUGAUACCUCUGUUUCCUGCAGAGGAAACAGAGGAGAGGGUGUGGGUGACGUCGGGGAGAAGAAGGGGAGGAAGGAGAAGAAGAGAAGAAGAAGAAAGGAAGGAAAAGGAAGAGGAGAAGGGAAGAAAGUAGCUGCGGCUGCGGUUGUGGCAGCUGCAACUGUGGCAGGGAAAGAAGAAGAGAAAGGAAGAAGGGGAGGAGAGGAAGAAGAGUAGGGGCUGCGGCUGCGGCGAUGGCAGCUGCAGUUGGAAGAGAAGAAGGAGAGGAAGAUGAGCAGGGGAGGAAGAAAAGGCUGUGGCCGUGGCUGAGGCUGCGACUGCAGCAUGCAGCUGGGAAAGAAGAGAAGGAAAGGAAGAAGAAGAGAAAGGAAGAAGGGAAGGAGAGGAAGAAGAGAAGGGGCUACGGCUGCGGCGAUGGCAGCUGCAGUUGGAAGAGAAGAUGGAGAGGAAGAUGAGUAGGGGAGGAAGAAGAGGCUGCGAAUGUGGUGGCUGCGGCCGUGGCUGCGACUCCGGCUGCGGCUGCAACGUUGGCUGCGGUAGCUGCGGCAGCGGUGGUGGCUGCAGUAGCUGCAGUAGCUGCUUUUGGGAAAGAGAAAGAGUAGGAACGAGAGAAGGGAAGAAGGAAAUAGUGCAGUGGAAGGGAGCUGCGGUUGUGACCGCAGUUGCGGUCGUGGCUGCGAUUGUGGCAGCGGCAGCGGCGGCGGCUGUGGCAGCUACGUUUGGGAAAGAAAAAAAGAAGGAAUGAGAGUAAGAGAGAGCAGGUGACUGUGCUUCGAUGUUCGACACGUGAUGUAGUUACGAAGAAAGGAAGAAAACGGGAGCACAAAACGAAACAGAGAGAGGACACGGAGAAAAAGUAGAAGGAUUUGGGCUGGCACCUUCUUUGGAUCUUCGGAUCGAAAUCUUUGAAAGGUCAGCUUGUCACUCUUCGAGAUGUUUGAUUUGGGCUGAGGCAGUGGAUAGCUAUUCAGAAUAAUGGGCAAGUCUGGUUGGUUAUUACGAUAUUGUUGUAUAAGUAUGUCUUGUAUGUAAUGAAAUGUUGUCGAUGAACCGAAAUGGAUAUACUGUGUCAAAGUGUUAGGAGAUCUCUCUUAUUUGGAAUUUCAGAAUGUUAAGCCUAAUUUAUGGUGAUAUGAACUUGUGGUGAAUAGUUGGAGUUCUGAUUGUAUAAUUUAUUUAGCUUGUGGAUUUAUAAAUGUUGUUCAUGUUUGUCAAGUUGGCUUGGGUUGCCAUAAAUGUGAAUUAUCGAGUGAUGUGAUAUAUGACUAUAAACUGCACAGGUUUUAUGGAUGUGAAUAUGAAUAGAAUGUUUUCAGUGUCCUCAAACGUUAGUUUGUAUCCUGGAUUGGUCUGUGACAAAAAUUUUAAAAAUCAUGGAUAUUUAGAGGGGCGUGACAGAGGUGGUAUCAGAGCAUUGUUUGAGGAUUACUGAAAUAUUUGAUAUGUUGACGUGCAAAAUAUAUUGAGGUCUAAUGAAACUAUAGUGAUUGGUGGAAAUUUUCUUUGAUGUAUUUUAGGAAUCUAGGAUGACGAUGACAUUUAGUCCUCCUACUUCAUCUGAUUUUGAUUAAUUAAGUGGGAUGAAAGGGGUAAUCGGGGAUAUUGAAUCAGAGUGGCGCAGCGGAAGCAUGGUGGACCUAAUUUCAUUGGUGGUAGAAAAAUGAAUGAUGCAAACAGAGAAGAUAUUUGAUGUACAAAAUUGUUUUGAUGAUCAAAAGAUUUCUUUUGCCACCUUAUAUUGGAAGUAGAGGCUGAUUAUUAUUGGCAACAAUGAAAAGAAUUUUUGGAGAUCAGUGACAAGAAUGAUAAGGACAAGUUUACCAAUAAGAAUAUGAUUGGAAAUGAAUCAGAAAGUAAUGACAAGAGGGUCAAGACAUUUGGAUUUUGAAAAGGAAAGUCACCACCAAAGACUUAAUCAUGUGUGAAUUACAAGUUAAAUUAUGAAACAAGUUUGUGUUUUCGGGUGAUUGGAGUCUAUUUUGCUUGUAGAAAGUUGGAUCAUAAAAUAAAAGUUUGCCCUUUGAACAAGAAGAAAGAGUCACUGCCUCCUAAAUCAUCAGCCCAUGUAAGAGUGUAUGCUAUCACUGAAUAUGAUUCUGAAACUUCUGAAUUAGUGGCCAAAGGUAUUAUGCAUGGUUAUGAAAGAAUGCAAAUAUUUGUUCGACCAUGGGUCCAAUCUACGAUUUGAUUCGUUAUAUUUUGCUUAUCACUUGGGUAUUCAACCUAGACCACUACAUUAUGUGCUAUAAGUAAAUACGAUCAUUGGAGAUUCUUUGAUAACGAAGUUGAAUCUGGUCCUCUUGUCUGAUUCUUAUUGGAGAACUUGAACUUUUGCUGAUUUAGUUCUCCUAGAGAUUUGGAGUUUUGAUAUUAUACUUGGUAUGGAUUGGCUAUCUUCCUAACAUACCAGUAUGGAUUGGUAUAUAACAAAUGAUCACUUUUUGCAUAUUUGAUCAGCCGAUCUUUUAUUUUGAGAGUAUUGGACAUUAUUUAUCUCCUUGCCUAAUGUAUCCCAGGAUGACUUGUUUGGAUUACCUCCAAAUGUGAUUUUGCUUUUGAUUUGGUCCUUGGGACAAUCCUAAAAUCUAAGCCUCUCUACAGAAAGAUAUCAUUUGAGUAAGUGGAAUUAGAAAAGCAACUACAAGGAUUAUUAAAUGAGGAUUUUAUUUGGCUUAAUAUUUCAUCAUGGGGUGCUCCGGUGUUAGUUAAAAGAAAUGUAUGGAACAUUGAGGCUUUGUAAUGAUUAUAGACAGUUGAAUUAGGUGACCAUCAAAAACGAGUAUUUUCUGAAGUAACGACUUGCACGAUUAAUUACAGGGUACGCAAGUAUUUUUAGAAAUUGAUUGAAGGUCGGGUUACCGUCUAUUGAGGAUCAAGGAGGAGAAUAUUUCGGUCACUCGUGUAUAAUUAUGUAAUUGUAUUGUAUUGAUGAAACUAUUUAAGAGUAGGAGGAGGAAAUAAAGAUAUCAUAAUCCUCAUCUUUUCAUCGAUUGAGCUAUGAUCAAUUUAGAGGACUAAAUUUUCUUUUAAGGGGGGGAGAGUGUAAUAUCCCUCGCUUUUAAAAAUUAUUAAUAAAGAUUUAUAUGUAAAUUGGAGGACCUAUAUGUAAAUAUAGAAAUUACAAGGACUAAACUGCUAAGUUGCAAAAAAAAAGAAAAAAAAAGGGAAAAUCGAAAAUUCGGUAUUAUCCCACCGCCUCCCACGCACUCUGUUUCUUCCAGAAACAGAGAGAGCGGUGGGGCGUGAGGAGAAGAAGGAGAGUGGUAGAAGAAGAGAGGAAGAAGAGGGAGAAGAGAAGAAGAAGAAGAAGAAGAAGAAGAAGAGGGAAAAGAAGAGAGGAGGAAGAAGAGGGAGUAGAGAAGAAGAAGAAGGAGAAGAAGAAGAAGAGGAGGUGGCUGCAGCGAGGGCUGCAGCGAGAAGCUGUGGGGCGUGGGGAGAAGAAGAGAGGAAGAAGAGGGAGAAGAGAAGAAGAAGAAGAAGAAGAAGAGAAGAGGAUAGCUGCAGCAAGGCUGCAGCGAGAAGGUGUGUGGGGUUGGGGAGGAAAAAGGGAAGAGGAGAAGAAGAGGGAAAAGAGAGGGAAGAGGGAGAGGAGCGAGAGGUGGCAGCAGCUAGGGCUGCAGCACCUCUGUUUCCUGCAGGUGGAAACAGAGGAGAGGUGUGGGGCGUUCGAAGAGGAGAAGAAGAAGAAGAGGAAGAGAAGAGGAAGAGGAAGCAGGGGAAGAGGUUGUGAUACCUCUGUUUCCUGCAGAGGAAACAGAGGAGAGGGUGUGGGUGACGUCGGGGAGAAGAAGGGGAGGAAGGAGAAGAAGAGAAGAAGAAGAAAGGAAGGAAAAGGAAGAGGAGAAGGGAAGAAAGUAGCUACGGCUGCGGUUGUGGCAGCUGCAGCUGUGGCAGGGAAAGAAGAAGACAAAGGAAGAAGGGGAGGAGAGGAAGAAGAGUAGGGGCUGCGGCUGCGGCGAUGGCAGCUGCAGUUGGAAGAGAAGAAGGAGAGGAAGAUGAGCAGGGGAGGAAGAAAAGGCUGUGGCCGUGGCUGAGGCUGCGACUGCAGCAUGCAGCUGGGAAAGAAGAGAAGGAAAGGAAGAAGAAGAGAAAGGAAGAAGGGAAGGAGAGGAAGAAGAGAAGGGGCUACGGCUGCGGCGAUGGCAGCUGCAGUUGGAAGAGAAGAAGGAGAGGAAGAUGAGCAGGGGAGGAAGAAGAGGCUACGAAUGUGGUGGCUGCGGCCGUGGCUGCGACUCCGGCUGCGGCUGCAACGUUGGCUGCGGUAGCUGCGGCAGCGGUGGUGGCUGCAGUAGCUGCAGUAGCUGCUUUUGGGAAAGAGAAAGAGUAGGAACGAGAGAAGGGAAGAAGGAAAUAGUGCAGUGGAAGGGAGCUGCGGUUGUGACCGCAGUUGCGGUCGUGGCUGCGAUUGUGGCAGCGGCAGCGGCGGCGGCUGUGGCAGCUGCGUUUGGGAAAGAAAAAAAGAAGGAAUGAGAGUAAGAGAGAGCAGGUGACUGUGCCUCGAUGUUCGACACGUGAUGUAGUUACGAAGAAAGGAAGAAAACGGGAGCACAAAACGAAACAGAGAGAGGACACGGAGAAAAAGUAGAAGGAUUUGGGCUGGCACCUUCUUUGGAUCUUCGGAUCGAAAUCUUUGAAAGGUCAGCUUGUCACUCUUCGAGAUGUUUGAUUUGGGCUGAGGCAGUGGAUAGCUAUUCAGAAUAAUGGGCAAGUCUGGUUGGUUAUUACGAUAUUGUUGUAUAAGUAUGUCUUGUAUGUAAUGAAAUGUUGUCGAUGAACCGAAAUGGAUAUACUGUGUCAAAGUGUUAGGAGAUCUCUCUUAUUUGGAAUUUCAGAAUGUUAAGCCUAAUUUAUGGUGAUAUGAACUUGUGGUGAAUAGUUGGAGUUCUGAUUGUAUAAUUUAUUUAGCUUGUGGAUUUAUAAAUGUUGUUCAUGUUUGUCAAGUUGGCUUGGGUUGCCAUAAA